UUGAACGGCAUCUUGACUUCAUCCAGAACUGCCUCAGGAACAAGACAGCGGGGAAAGAGGCUGGCCACUGCUGGUUCCCCCAAAAUCUGCACAGAGGCGAGUCUCUCUGGACCGCUGGUUUGAGCACACUGCAAAACAAAAUGGCUGCUGCAAACAUUUUUUUUUAACCAAUUUCUCUUUUGCAGCUCCCCCAAAGCUGCACUGGGACGAGUGUCUCUCGGGGCCGUCAAAAAGAGAGGCUUCCAGUUAAAGUGCCAUGGUGGACUCUGCACCCUGACCACCAAGACGCCGGGCAGAGAAAAUUUCUACAUUGCAACUGAAAUCUUG